rnacentral:rRNA from 1 species
AUGAAUGAUAUUGCCGAGAAGAAUGUUACUACUGGGCAAGAGGUAGCUAAGGAACUUCAAGAGGCCCAAGAAUGUCUCUAUGAUAAUCCUCAUAUUGUUGAAGUCAAAUCUGUUCCAUCUAUGUCCGUUGAGGACCGUAACCUUCAAGAGGCCCUCCGGCUCAUUAAGGAUGAUCCAGUGGGAGUAAUUGGAAUAUGGGGUCCAGGUGGAGUGGGGAAAACACGCCUUUUGAACAAAAUCAAGAACUCACUUGAUGAUGACAAGACCUUUAACUAUGUUGUGCAAGUGACAGCUUCAAGGGGGUGUUCGGUGGAAAGAUCCAAACUGACAUUGCAUGCCAUCUCAAUCUGA